rnacentral:rRNA from 1 species
CCACGCCGUAAACGAUGGUCACUAGGUGUGGGAGGUGUCGACUCCUCCUGUGCCGUAGCUAACGCAUUAAGUGACCCGCCUGGGGAGUACGGCCGCAAGGCUAAAACUCAAAGGAAUUGACGGGGGCCCGCACAAGCAGCGGAGCAUGUGGUUUAAUUCGACGCAACGCGAAGAACCUUACCUGGGCUUGACAUGUUCCUGACCGGUGUGGAAACACACCUUCCCUUCGGGGCAGGAUCACAGGUGGUGCAUGGCUGU